rnacentral:lncRNA from 1 species
UUAGCGUGCCCUGCCAUUGGACUUCGCCCGUGCCAGUCUCGCAAUAGGGUUUCCGGGUCCUUUGGCGCUAGAAACAAACUGGAAGGAAGUUGCGAACUUCCACUCUGGGCCUAGGCUAGGACGCGUUUAUGCGAUAGAUUUUUACCUGCCCUUUUGCUUUGAAAAUGCUCUUGAUGGACAUUUUGAACGCUUUCCUGAAAGGGGGCUGACAUUCGUCGCAGUGCGGAUGUGUUCUCCAUGCGGGCACAAAGCUCUUAAACAGCCCGUUUUCCAGAGUGGAAACCAGAUCUAAUCCAGGAUGAGAAAGAAGUCAAACCAGCAUCAGUUCCAGAUGAUUGGGACAGUGCAGAGAAACCUCACCAGCUCCAAGCCUUUCUUCUCAACCCCGAUUCUAUGUUAAAGCUCAGUUUCACGGUGAGUAUUUCACAGUAGCCAUUAUUACAUAUGCAUGCCUAUGACAGUUUCUCAUCGGAAGAAAACCCUAUUUAGGGGCUAGAACCAGUGUUUCAUUUAAUUCAGCAAAAUUCAACUAGAGGUUGAAAGAUAAUAAAUACCUUAAUUUCAAGAAACCUAUGUACUUGAGGCAGAAAUUAGGAGAACCC